UACGUAGGUGGCAAGCGUUGUCCGGAUUUAUUGGGUUUAAAGGGUGCGUAGGCGGUUUUGUAAGUCAGUGGUGAAAUACUCCAGCUUAACUGGAGGGGUGCCAAUGAUACUGCAGAACUUGAGUACAGAUGAGGUAGGCGGAAUUGACGGUGUAGCGGUGAAAUGCAUAGAUAUCGUCAAGAACACCGAUAGCGAAGGCAGCUUACUGGGCUGUAACUGACGAUGAGGCACGAAAGUGUGGGGAUCAAACAGG
rnacentral:rRNA from 1 species